rnacentral:tRNA from 1 species
GCGGGCGUAGCUCAGUGGUAGAGCGCCACCUUGCCAAGGUGGAUGUCGAGGGUUCGAAUCCCUUCGCCCGCUCCA